rnacentral:tRNA from 1 species
AGGUUAUUAGGAUAUAAAUUCUAUUAGUUUUCAAGGCUAAAUGAGCUAAUUUCAA